CACAGAGAGCGAGGGAGAGCGAAAGGGAGAGAGAGAGAGAGAGAGAGAGAGCGAGAGAGAGAGCAUACUGUGUUCAUUACCACGCCCAAGUACUCACCGUAGAAGACGUCUGAUUCGUGAGGAAUUCGUGAGAGAAGGAGGGAAAUUCACAAACGGCUGAAGAUGUCCCGUUUGAGUUCGCCGAACCCCCGCCCGCACCCCCUCCCCCGCCCGCUCGCUCUCCCCCGACGCCCCGCCCACGCUGCAGGGACAGCUCCUGAGUGCCCAGAGGACCUCCGACUUGUACGACACGUCCGAGGAUGAGGCCGAGCUGCAGGGACUCUCGGGAUCGUCUGCAGAAG